AAACACAACUCACAAGCAGAGGUAGGGGUAUGUUCAACCUGAUCGUCCUCAAAGUAAUGCCAAUUAAAAUGAGACAAAGGAAAAAGCCCACCGUGAGGGGUGAUGGCCAGGUGCUCACUGCAGAUUCCCUCCCAUAUAUGGGAGGCUCCUGGAGCUCCAUAGUCUCCUCUACUACUGCUGAGGAGCAGGCCAUGGCAGGCGCCUGUGGGGACAGCCCCCAGAGGACAGGGCUGACUGCAGGAGGAACAGAGCAUCACAGUGAGAAGACAGACAAAUAGCCAGCAGUUCCACAGCGACUCAGGGGACUGCCAGGGUUCAAAUCCUGCUCCUGCUAGAUGCCACUUCUGCUGCUCUUCAUUGCUGCCCUAGACAAGGCCAGGCCCUGCGGCGUGCUGCGAGCCUUCCUUCCGUUAUCUUUACCAGCUCUACAUGGUCAUUCACAGAUGAGAAAGCUGAAGAUCAGAGAGCUCACACAUUUCCCACAAGGUUACACAGUCAGUAAGAGACACUAUCAGGAUUCCAAUGACCUGCUGUUAAAGUUCAUCUCUUAUUCACUCAUUG
ensembl:lncRNA LINC02354 long intergenic non-protein coding RNA 2354